ACAUGCAAUCAGCGUUGCUGAAAGCAGCUGUCCAGGUCUCUUGUCGCUUAAAUUCCACUUCUCCUUGGAGCGGGGGAUUUAGAAACUGGAGAAGAUGAGGCUGUUAGAAAAUGAAAAAUGAUGAGCAGAAGCAAUUUUCCUCAUGGGCUCUGGCCCCAAAAGGAGCAUCAGUCUGUGCUUUGGAUGCAGAUCCUUGUCUGUUCUGUUCUUGAUUUAUUCCUGCAAAUCUGCCCAAGUGCAGUUAAAGUUAAUGAAAAAGAGGAGAGCAGAGAGCAGGGAUCCACAGGGCUGAGACACUGACAGUGCGAGGCACUCAGGCUGGAGCUCCUGGGCAGCCUGGGCUGGAGGUCACAGUCUGCAUAGAACAUGCCAUUCUUAUUGGGAAUACCAUGUCUGUGCCAAGGCCCGUCACAAGGACCUGUCGGGUAAAUAAAGCUGCACCUGCCCAGGCCUCAGGGAAAACUCUGUGAACUCUCUCUCCCUGACUUUAUCAUGGGUCAUUCAAAAUGGGAAGAGGAUUUUGGAAACUGUGUCCAAGGUUGAAGGGGGAGGAGCAGCAGACAGCGAUGUUCGUGUCUGCUGGAGAGGCAAUCAUGCCUCUCCAGUUAUGUCCAUCUUUGAACAGAUUUGGAUUUUCCCUUGAAGCUGGGCUGGAUCCUGACUUCCUCAUAUUGCCAGAGUUAGACAAAUAAUGAGUGUGAUUAGAGAAGACUGGAAGAUUAGAGCUCGCACACCUGGGCUCUGACUGCAGGCCCUUUGCAUCUCUCACCUGGUCUCCUUACUGCAUCUCGGCCCCCCAGCUGCCUUCACUUGGGCUCCCUCAAAGCCACCACCUGAAGGCAGUAGCCAAUGCAAGUACCCACGUGACUGUGUGGCUCAAAAUCCUGUGCUCCUCAUGCCACAGGAUGAAGUCUGAGAUCUCGAAUGUGGCCUCUGAGGCCCCAUAAGAUCAGGCCCUGCUUUGUGUCCUGAUGCCAAGGUCCUCAAUGCUGAGAGCCCUGAGCCCAAGACAAGGUGUGGUGCACACAGACCUUGCCUGGAUCUUUUCGAAACCAGUGGUGGAUGGCCAAGAUUCAUUUCCACUUAUUUCCCAUGCAAAAGGCAAAGUUGUCAGCUGUUUGGUGAAUAUGUCAGAGCUCUGGCCUAGAAGAAUCUCCUGGAACCCUGGCUGCCUGGGUAAGCCACAGUUGCGCUGCUUCUCCACCCAGUGACUCCAGCUGCUGCCCUUUGAUCUCUGAUGUUUACCCUGUGCUGAUUUUCUCUUGCCUCACUCGCUUUCUGCUGUCCACACAUCUCGAUGAGCCGGCUGCGCCUGCCUCUGUGAGGUCCCCACGUUCCUCAGGUUUGCACCUUUUAUUGUGCUUGUCAGGACAGGGAAGCAGCUUGUACCGCUGUGGGGAAAAUAGAAACAGAUAAGCCUUACUGAGGGCUCAGGGAAAGGGCCUCUCCUCUUCUCUCCUUGCAUAUUGUGAGUAUACUUUGAUAUUUCUCUUUUGACACCUGAGAUGUUUUGCAGACUUACUUCCACAUUUUCUAUAACAUCCCGGAUACACGAGGUUACCAGAUUGCUGGAUUCUGAAUAACUGAAGCAUCUCAGCAUCAAUCAUCCUCUAAGUGAACCCAAUGCCCCGAGGCCUGCUUCUGUUUUCAGCUUGUUCUGGCUACAGAGGUAGUAAGUCUCCUACUGCCUCUUCAUUGUCAAGAUCAUUCUGAGCCAGGAAAAGAGAGACAAGAAGGGAAUGGGAACAGUUCUGUAGAAUUUGAUCCUCACUUUUCUUGAGCUCUUUGCUCUGAACAAAACUAAAGCAGAUGUUUUGCCAUCUCUGUCAUCUGUUGUGGCUCCAGGUGACACAUCUCAGAGGUUCCUGUGACAUUUUCAUGUUUGCGGAGCUCCUGCCUCCCAUUGCCUGUCAAGGUCCUUCCACAGCAACACCCCUGGGCAGCAGCACACACUUCUGCAACCACCAUCCAAAUUGGUGUGUCCAAGACUUCAUGGUCGGAACGCAUUGCUGCAAAUUUCCAAACCCUUUUCACAGUAACUCUCAUCAUAACAGCUGCCAUCUCUGUAGUGCCCAGCAUUGGGCUGAGGGUUAACCACUUAUUGUCUCUUCUACAUGUGAAAAUAACCUUAUGAAGAUGUUAGUAAUAUUCCCAUUUUAAAGAUCAAAAAACUGAGGCUCAGAGAGGUUACCUUGUCAAGAAUCCUAGUUACUGAGUGGCAGAACUGGGAUGUGAAUACACCUCUGUCUGGUUUCAAAGCUCAUGCUCUAAUAUAAGCUGUAUAUUUGGGUGAGACUGCUUCUUGGGACCAAGGGUAACUCUGGAGAGGCGUUCAGCAGAGGCUACAGUAUUUACCUCUUGUAGCAGUUAGGGGAAGCAGCUAUUACCUACUAUUUCAUGCCCAGCAGGUGUAAUCCUGCCAUUUGUAUGGUGAGGUUUGCCAUCCUAAAUCUAGAACCCAUGAUUGCCUUCAUUAGACUGCCUUUGCCAGCCCGGUAUACCUACUCAGAAGACAUAUCUGAGCUGACUGUGAACUGAAUUUUGUUCAGGACUUUAUUUAUUAUCUGGGUCUUAUGUUCACCCCCUCUAAUGGAGUGUUCAUUCUUGUUUCAGGUCCCCAGGUAUCAAUGUCAACAACAAUCCGUGUCCAACAUCUUCAAAAUGUUUGGGCAUUUACCCUCCCCAGAGUCCAGUUACCCAAGGAAAUGGCUGCAGGUCCCUUUGGAGGAAGGUCUGGGAGAUUAGCUUCUUCUUCAGUCCGUCUUGCCCUCAGCUUCCUGAUGAGCCAUCCUUGGUUUAUUUUAGUUGUAGAGGUUGAGCAAUAAUACUUUGUUGGCUGCCUGUUUUUCCCCUCGAAUGCAAAUUUCUUUUUACCAUUUCCGUAGCUCUUUGUGGGUUAGAUCCCACUAGCUGUCACACCCACUUUGCUGCCCCUUAUGAUAAUUACAUUAUGAUGACUACAAACACCUUGCAUUGGACAGUAAGUGCUACCUCUAUCAGUCCCAUUGUUACUAGGGAGCCCAGGCCUAUAUCAUCUACCUUUGGAUAUCCUGUAAUAGUCUUGACCUUCAGAGAAGAGCACCCACUGAGCUUCUUCAUGACACUUGCCCUCUCACCGGCGUAUUCUUCUUGCUUUGGCAAAUACAGCAUUCUUCUAGGCCCUCUUGUGAAAAAAAAACCUAUCAGCUGUUCGGUUCUCUGGCCUUGUAUGGUAUAUCCACUCUAGCUUGCCUAUUUUCUGAGCCUUUCAUCCCUUCCUUCCCCAUCCUCCAUGAUCUGACAUCUCCAUUUGACUUGGCAUCACAUUUUCUAAGCGUCCAACUCCUGGGGUCCUUACCAGGAUGUUAAAUGUUGCAUCAAAGGAGAGUGCUUCCAUAGCAAUACAUUUUCCCCAUCCAGCUUUGCAUUUCAUCCCACUUUGUCCAGCAGUCUCUCUAUUCCCUCCUGCACAUGUGCUUGUGGCACUUGUAGGACAUAUUGGCUGGGUCCCACAGCUCUCUGGGCUAUAGUUCGUUUCUUCCCUUAGCACGUUUACACUUUUCUGGCUAGAAUAUGUUGUGGCUUGACCUUACCUAUGGGUCUGGUGGCCAAGAGUAGAUUUUUGAGGGGAGAAGGAGGGAGUUGUCAUGCAUUGUCUUGCAAAGCAGAACCUCAUCAUCAUCUUCAUGCAAAAGCAGGCAUUAGCCUUUAAGGAGAAGAGUAGGAUACUAUUCCAGGCCUAGAGAAUUCCAGAGGAUCUGGGAACUUGAGAACUUGAGAUGUUUUAAUAUAUGAACCCAAAUGUCCCCAUCCCACUCUUUCCUAAUCAUAGAACUGACUUUGGCCUAGCCGACCUGCCAGGACUAAACUUCAGUGUUGCUUUCAGUAUUUCUACUCUUAUAAUUAAACCUGGGGCCUGCUUCUCAGCUGUAUCUGCCCUGCAGUUGCAGAGGAUAAUAGUCUUUUCAUAGGCUUCAUAUAAAAGCCAAGAGGUCCUCUGGUAUGUGUACCUUGCCUUAUAUUGGUGUUUAAUCACUUAGUCUUUUAUUAAAUUUCUCCAAUGAAUUAACAGCUUCUAGCAACAACCAUCUGAUUCCAUAGUUCUUAUAAUUACUAUUUCCCCCAAAACUCUUAAACACCUGAGAUCUCGCAUCUGCCAGAGCAGUUUCUUCCCAAGUAUCAUGUCCUAGUUCACCACCAGUGAAAAUUUUAACAAGUGAAUCAUAACUGCAAGUGCCUACCACCAGUGAUGAGGUCUUCACUGAAGCAGCUAGCAGAUGACAGCUCCAACAUGCUGCUGGGACCAACGUUCAUAGGUCAAGUUCCCCAGAAAACAGACUGUGUGCAGGAGGUUUCCUAUGAGUGGUCUCAGGACCAGCCCCUGCGAGGGGUGAGGGAAGCAGAAGUGGGCAGGGGGAAUAAACUAUGAUCCAGUUGCAACAGCAGACUCAGCCAAUCCUGUGGGGAGCUCUGGAACUGGACUCUUUCCAGUUGAGGCAAGACGGCUGGAACCCUGUGCCCCUUCAUCAGUGAGUAAUAGGAUGCAGGCUGCCUCCAGGUAAGGGAUGUAUCUUUGGGUGAGACUGCUUCUUAGGACCAAUGGUAAUUCUGGAGAGGGGCUCAGCAAGAGGCUACAAUAUCUACAUCUUGCAGCAGCUAGGGGAAGUAGUGCUCCCAUCCUGAUGGCACAUCUGGGCAGCAUGUCCCUUCACUUUUUCUCUCCAAUGAGAGAGAAGAAAAGAGAUUAAAAAUAAAAUAGCCCCUUUGUUUUAUAUUUGAAAUGAUUGCUCUUGUGAUUAUAAUUUGCAACCUUAAUAUAAAAUGCACUGAAUUAACCUUCUACCACGUCAGAUACGAGGUUUGUUGUUGUUGUUGUUGUUGAUGAUGAUGUUGUUUUUGAGACGGAGUCUCGCUCUGUCACCCAGGCUGCGGUGCAGUGGCAUGAUCUUGGCUCACUGCAAGCUCUGCCUCCUGGGUUCAUGCCAUUCACCUGCCUCAGCCUCCCGAGUAGCUGGGAAUACAGGCAUCUACCACCGCGCCCAGCUAAUUUUUUUUUUUUUUUAUUUUUAGUAGAGAUGGGGUUUCACCGUGUUAGCCAGGAUGGUCUCAAUCUCCUGACCUCAUGAUCCACCCACCUUGGCCUCCCAAAAUGCUGGGAUUACAGGCAUGAGCCACUGCAUCUGGCCCAGAUACAAGGUUUUAAUGGUAUAUUCACAUUUACCUGCUUCUCCAUCUUUGGUGCUAUGAUGCCAUAUAUUUUACUUCUACAUAUGUUAUAAACCCCAUAAAUCCCAUAGCAUAUUGCUAUUAUUUGUGCCUUGAACAAUUACCUUUUAAAGCAAUGAUGAAAAGCAGCCUUUCAUAGUGACUCGCAUAUUUGCCCUUUUGGGUGCUCUGCAUUUCAGUAUCAGUGGAGAUACCUUGCUGAUCUUGUCAGUAUUUCAGGUAAGAAGGGGUUAAGCUGCGAUUCCAGAUGCCCUUGGUUCCUCGUGAGGUAAACUCUGGGCUUCUGAAUCCAAGCACCACGGGGCAUGUUUUCCAGUUUCUCUUCCACUGCCACCUCCUCAACAAAAUUUGGGACUGGGUGUGGUCUAGGCAGGCUGAAUUACUGGGCUGAGUGCUUUGUUUGGGGCUCCUCCAGAUGCCAUCCACCCUGCCAGCUGGCACAGUCAGGCUCAGCUGAGUUCUCCCCAUCCCUGCAGAGUCUCCCUGGCUCCAGCAGGACCCUCCUCCAUCUUGUAAUUCAGGGAUCUGACUCCCUCCCGCAGGUGUGGAAGCUGCUCACCAUAAAGGUCUCACUUCUCUCUGGAGUUCAGGUCAUCCAAGAUUUCUUGCAUCCCACUGCUCUUAACUAGCCUGGUAGAGAAGCACACUUUUUAUUUUGUCCCAGCUUUUCUUGUAGUUCUCUCAGAAACAAAGGUCUUUCCCGUUCUCUUACGUUCUAACCAGAAGCAGAGGUCCUCUGCCUGCUUGCCUGGCCUUUGCUCUCUUUCCUCCUGCAUCAGUGGAUUGCUGUGAGGAGCUGAUGUGGAUCAUAUUAUAUUAUGAGCCAGGAAGAUCACAGGGCUCUGGUUUACCCAAAGCCAGUAGCUGGGCUGCUCGAUGGGUCACUCCCACUUGGAAUGAUCACUGCAUCUCCCUUUAUCUCAAGGAAACACUAGUGGAAUCACCAGAGCACAUACAGCAUUGCAG
rnacentral:lncRNA from 1 species